AACAGUUUGAUACACUUGACUAGUAAAUUAGUUUGUGAGUUAGUAUAUGUGUUCCACAUCAUCGUUUCUCUCUAUUUUUACACAAGAAUUUAUGGAAAGGAAGUAGAUGAUUAUGGCACAAGGUACAGUUAAAUGGUUUAACGCUGAAAAAGGUUUCGGUUUUAUUUCAACUGAAAACGGGCAAGAUGUCUUCGCACAUUUUUCAGCUAUCCAAUCUAAUGGUUUCAAAUCUUUAGAUGAAGGACAAAAAGUGGAAUUUGAUGUUGAAGAAGGUCAACGUGGCCCUCAAGCAGUAAACAUCGUUAAAUUGUAAUUUACAAUUAAACAUGCAUAAAUGAUGAGUACCUUCUGGUGCUCAUUUUUUU
rnacentral:sRNA from 1 species